GCGGGCGUAGUACAGUGGUAGUAUAUAACCUUCCCAAGGUUGAGAUGUGGGUUCGAUUCCCAUCGCCCGCUCAA
rnacentral:tRNA from 2 species